rnacentral:rRNA from 1 species
AGAACGAACGCUGGCGGCAUGCCUAACACAUGCAAGUCGAACGAGCUCUUCGGAGCGAGUGGCGCACGGGUGCGUAACGCGUGGGAACCUGCCCUUAGGUUCGGAAUAACUCCCCGAAAGGGGUGCUAAUACCGGAUAAUGUCUUCGGACCAAAGAUUUAUCGCCUUUGGAUGGGCCCGCGUUGGAUUAGCUAGUUGGUGGGGUAAUGGCCCACCAAGGCGACGAUCCAUAGCUGGUCUUAGAGGAUGAUCAGCCACACUGGGACUGAGACACGGCCCAGACUCCUACGGGAGGCAGCAGUGGGGAAUAUUGGACAAUGGCGAAAGCCUGAUCCAGCAAUGCCGCGUGAGUGAUGAAGGCCUUAGGGUUGUAAAGCUCUUUACCCGGGAUGAUAAUGACAGUACCGGAGAAUAAGCCCGGCUAACUCCGUGCCAGCAGCCGC